AUAUGAUCAUCAGAAGAACUUCUAGUCUACCUGAUGCAUGAUGUCCAUGAUUUAGAGA
ensembl:snoRNA